rnacentral:rRNA from 1 species
AGAGUUUGAUCCUGGCUCAGGACGAACGCUGGCGGUGCGCCUUAUGCAUGCAAGUUGAGCGAAGCUUUUUGGUAGUUUACUACUAGAAAUGACUGAGCGGCGAACGGGUGAGUAACGCGUGAGCAAUCUACCUUAGUUACUGGGAUAGCCCGAGGAAACUCGGAUUAAUACCGGAUAUUCUUAUUUUUUCACAUGAAGUUUUAAGGAAAGGUCAGCCGAACUAAGAUGAGCUCGCGUUCUAUCAGCUAGUUGGUGGGGUAAAAGCCUACCAAGGCUACGACGGAUAGCUGGUCUGAGAGGACGAUCAGCCACACUGGGACUGAGACACGGCCCAGACUCCUACGGGAGGCUGCAGCAGGGAAUAUUGUGCAAUGAGCGAAAGCUUGACACAGCGACACCGCGUGUGGGAUGACGGUUCUAGGAUUGUAAACCACUUUCAGGAGGGAAGAAAAUGACGGUACCUCCACAAGAAGACCCGGCCAACUAUGUGCCAGCAGCCGCGGUAAUACAUAGGGGUCAAGCGUUGUCCGGAUUUAUUGGGCGUAAAGAGCUCGUAGGCGGUUCAACAAGUCGGUCGUAAAAGUUUAGGGCUCAACCCUAAAAUGUCGAUCGAUACUGUUGUGACUAGGAUACGGUAGAGGUGAAUGGAAUUCCGAGUGUAGCGGUGAAAUGCGUAGAUAUUCGGAGGAACACCAAUUGCGAAGGCAGUUCACUGGACCGUGAUCGACGCUGAGGAGCGAAAGCUAGGGGAGCAAACAGGAUUAGAUACCCUGGUAGUCCUAGCUGUAAACGAUGGAUACUAGAUGUAGGAACUGGAUUGACGGUUUCUGUAUCGUAGCUAACGCGUUAAGUAUCCCGCCUGGGGAGUACGGUCGCAAGACUAAAACUCAAAGGAAUUGACGGGACCCCGCACAAGCGGCGGAGCAUGCGGCUUAAUUCGAUGAUACCCGUAGAACCUUACCUGGACUUGACAUAUAGGGAAAAACUGGAGAAAUCCAGUGUGCGUAAGCGCCCUAUACAGGUGGUGCAUGGCUGUCGUCAGCUCGUGUCGUGAGAUGUU